rnacentral:rRNA from 1 species
UGGGGAAUUUUGGACAAUGGGCGAAAGCCUGAUCCAGCAAUGCCGCGUGUGUGAAGAAGGCCUUCGGGUUGUAAAGCACUUUUGUCCGGAAAGAAAUCCUUGGCUCUAAGUACAGUCGGGGGAUGACGGUACCGGAAGAAUAAGCACCGGCUAACUACGUGCCAGCAGCCGCGGUAAUACGUAGGGUGCAAGCGUUAAUCGGAAUUACUGGGCGUAAAGCGUGCGCAGGCGGUUUGCUAAGACCGAUGUGAAAUCCCCGGGCUCAACCUGGGAACUGCAUUGGUGACUGGCAGGCUAGAGUAUGGCAGAGGGGGGUAGAAUUCCACGUGUAGCAGUGAAAUGCGUAGAGAUGUGGAGGAAUACCGAUGGCGAAGGCAGCCCCCUGGGCCAAUACUGACGCUCAUGCACGAAAGCGUGGGGAGCAAACAGGAUUAGAUACCCUGGUAGUCCACGCCCUAAACGAUGUCAACUAGUUGUUGGGGAUUCAUUUCCUUAGUAACGUAGCUAACGCGUGAAGUUGACCGCCUGGGGAGUACGGUCGCAAGAUUAAACUUAAUG